AGAACGAACGCUGGCGGCAUGCCUAAUACAUGCAAGUCGAACGAACUCUUCGGAGUUAGUGGCGCACGGGUGCGUAACGCGUGGGAAUCUGCCCUUGGGUUCGGAAUAACAGUUGGAAACGACUGCUAAUACCGGAUGAUGACGAAAGUCCAAAGAUUUAUCGCCCAGGGAUGAGCCCGCGUAGGAUUAGCUAGUUGGUGAGGUAAAGGCUCACCAAGGCGACGACUCCUUAGCUGGUCUGAGAGGAUGAUCAGCCACACGUGGGAC
rnacentral:rRNA from 1 species